GGGGCGGGGCGUGCUGCUCUCCGCGCGCCGGUUCCGGUGUCGAGGCGGGCGCGGGUGUUCUCGGGCCUCGGUGAGCCCGCGGUGCCUGGGAGCAUCAUGGCUGCAGCCGCGUGGAUGCCUACGGUUUCUCGAUUGCUAGGUGCUUUCAAAAACCAAAAACAGGUGACCAGAAGUUUUGGUAGUGCUGUACAAACAGUAACUUUAAUCCCAGGAGAUGGCAUAGGACCCGAGAUUUCUGCUGCUGUCAUGAAGAUCUUUGAUGCUGCCAAAGCUCCUAUUCAGUGGGAAGAGAGGAAUGUUACAGCUAUCCAAGGACCAGGAGGGAAGUGGAUGAUACCUCCAGAUGCCAAAGAAUCCAUGGAUAAAAACAAAAUGGGAUUAAAAGGGCCUUUAAAGACCCCAAUUGCUGCAGGGCAUCCAUCAAUGAAUCUUCUUCUGCGUAAAACCUUUGACCUUUAUGCAAACGUACGUCCCUGUGUCUCAAUUGAAGGGUAUAAAACCCCAUAUACAGAUGUGAAUAUUGUCACAAUUCGAGAGAACACAGAAGGCGAAUACAGUGGAAUUGAGCAUGUGAUUGUUGAAGGUGUUGUGCAAAGUAUCAAGCUAAUCACAGAAGAAGCUAGCAAGCGUAUUGCAGAAUUUGCUUUUGAGUAUGCCAGAAAUAAUCAGAGAAGCCAUGUUACUGCUGUGCACAAGGCAAAUAUUAUGAGAAUGUCCGACGGGCUUUUCUUGAGAAAAUGCAGGGAGGCAGCAGAAAACUGUAAAGAUAUUAAAUUUAAUGAAAUGUAUCUGGAUACUGUGUGUCUGAAUAUGGUUCAAGAUCCAUCACAAUUUGAUGUGCUUGUUAUGCCAAACUUGUAUGGUGACAUCCUCAGUGACUUGUGUGCUGGACUGAUUGGGGGUCUUGGAGUAACACCAAGUGGAAAUAUUGGUGCUAAUGGAGUUGCAAUUUUUGAAUCGGUUCAUGGCACGGCACCAGACAUUGCAGGAAAAGAUUUGGCAAAUCCAACUGCCCUUCUUCUGAGUGCUGUAAUGAUGUUGCGUCACAUGGGACUACACAAACAUGCCACAAAAAUUGAGACAGCUUGCUUUGAUACAAUUAAAGAUGGAAAGCUAUCUUACUGUGUGUAGAAGCCAGUUAAAAAAAAAAAAUCUAAACUUACAAGUGAAUAAAGAGGUGCUCCUGUAAAGUUCCCAUUUACUGCUCUGGAAAUGAAAUCCUCCAUCUGCAGGUCUUGACAAAAGACUUGGGAGGUAGCGCCAAGUGUUCGGAAUUCACAGAGGAGAUCUGCCGCAGAGUACAGGACACAGACUAAGCUUUUCUCAUUCUAAUAACUCCAGAAGGACACAUCACACAAAGUACAUUAUAUAUAACCUGAUAUCCAUAUGCAUAUAGUUUGCUUGUCUCUUAAGAGAGCAAACUUUUUAGUUAGGGCUUCUCCAUUAAUAAAUUUAGUCCAAAUGGUUACAAAUGAUGCUUGUGCCUGCUUUCAGUGGACUUUUCUAAGUGCUUUGUGUUAUUUAUUUUUUUUCUAUCUGGUGAACAUUUUUAUGUAAGUGAAUUCUUUUAUCGCCACUGUAACUGUCUACCAUUUUUCAUUUCAACUAGAGGUUUUUACUUUCCACAAAGAAAAAUUAUGCAAAUAAACCAGUAACAGAAUUAGUGAAAUGUAAAAGCACCUUAAUGGUUAAAACCUACUUUACUGAUCUUACUGAAAUUUAAAAGAUAGGUUUUCAGCCUAACAAUAGCACAAGAUGACCUUCAUGAACAGAAACGGGUAUAAAAUAACUUAAAAUAGCAAUUUCGUGUUAAAAGCAAUGAAAAAAACCAGUUUAGAUACUCUGGUGAUUCAUUAAAUAUAGCCUUGCCCUCCAAGGGCAUGAAUAAAGAAAUACAAUAUUCUAGAGAUUUAAUCUAGUUGUGUAUUUUAAAAAAAGCCCACAACCAUUAACCAGAAAGGGGUGAGAUUUAAUGUUGAAGUAAAAUUAUUUUUCAAAUCUAUAUACCAAAAUAAUUCUUACAAGCUUUCCUCUCUGAAACACACUUCACAACAGAGUUCUAAUGAGAGUAAAUUAUACAAAAUUACUUCUGCCCUAUAUUGUGAGGGGAAAGUACUAACUUUGCAAAUUUAUACUAAAUAUCUCAUGACUUCUGCUAGAAUGCUUUUUGUGUUGUAGUUUUAUGCAUAGUCUGUUCGGUGUGUCUUACUGUAUUGACUAUUAAUUUUAUUCUAGAAAUUCUGAAUGUAAGGGACUAGUCCUAAAUGGAUUAAGACAGAUUGAAGGUUUGGUUCUGGUGCCUAUGUUCCAGAAACACAUUUCAUCCCUAUUCAAGGGGAUCCAAGACUAUUUUUUCCCUGCUUACUAAGCUUAAUGGGCACAAAAGCAACUCUUUUCCCUCCCUUCUUCAUCACAUACAGAUCACCAUAUGAGUCAUUGUGAUCUGUAUGCCUUAAGGUAUGCUUCCAUUAGUACACCCUACAAUAAAAUGUAUAUUUUAAAACUCAGAACUAUAGCACAGGAUUAUCCCUACUGCCAGAAACAGGCUUCUUAAAGCUUAAUUCUAUUAAUAGAUAUUACUCUACUUAGCCACUUUCUAUUAAGACUGUUUAGGCUGGUUGUUUCAGAAUUAAAAUCAAUUUGGAGUAACAACUUCUAGUGUCACUCUAUAAAGUAAGCAUCCCAGCUUUUUUCAUACAGUCUAACGACAUGUUGGAGGAGGGACAAUGAGCUUUAUUCCUCGCGCACUCUGCUUUUGGUGAAUAGGGCAACAUUUCUUUCUGUGUUUUACAAGCUGCUGCUUCCUUGUUUCCUUUAGAUCAAUAUUGUUAAAGAACUUCUGAAUUACCAUUGCGCACAAAAUGGGGAAAAAUAAACUUUUCAAAGUCCUA